GCUGCUCACUGCAAGGACGUUUAAAAGAUAAUAAGUGCAAUCUGUCUACACAAGCUCUUCAAACUUAUCAUUAUUUUCUUUUAAAUAGUUGGAGGACGAUGUGCUCCUCUCUUCAGAAUGAGAAAAGAAUUUUGCUUGUGUUUUGAUGUAAAUUGAUCAAAAGAAAUGGUAUUUUACUAUGACGAGAUUGAAACCAGGAUAAAUCAUAAAGAAUAAAUCAUAAUGCAAUGUAGUGAAUGAUCCAUAAUUAAAGCACUAUGAUAAUCUUAGGGACAUUAUUAUGUAGUUCCUUUUGGUUGCAUAAACAUCUAAUUGAGUGAUUACGAUAACAUUGACAUUAUCUAUAAAAUAAUAAAAUAUACUAGUAUUUUUGGAACUUGUAGUAGUUUAGAACACUUCCAUUUUCUAAAAUGUUAUUUUUGUAAGAUAAAACUUCUUUCGUAAAAGUACUUUUCCUUUUGUACAUUUGAUAGGAGCUGGUAUGAAAAUUCCAG